rnacentral:tRNA from 1 species
GCGGCCGUAGUCCAGCCCGGUCUAAGACGCCGGCCCGCCGCGCCGGCGACAGGGGUUCGAACCCCUUCGGCCGCACCA